rnacentral:rRNA from 1 species
CACGGGGGGAGCAAGCGUUGUUCGGAAUCACUGGGCGUAAAGGGCGUGUAGGCGGUCAAGUAAGUGGAAUGUGAAAGCCCCCGGCUUACCCGGGGAUCUGCAUCCCAAACUGCUUGGCUUGAGUACGGGAGAGGAUAGGGGAAUUCCUGGUGUAGCGGUGAAAUGCGUAGAUAUCAGGAGGAACACCGGUGGCGAAGGCGCCUAUCUGGCCCGAUACUGACGCUGAGGUGCGAAAGCGUGGGGAGCAAACAGG